AGCGGAAAAAACCCUAGCCGCCGCCCACCAAUCGCCUUGUGUCUCUUCUCCUCUCCAAUCCCCACGCCUCCUCCUCCUCCAAUCCCGAUUCCGCCUCAAUCCGCUCCAUCUCCUCGUAGAACCCUAGAGCAGGCGCGGCGGGAUGGCCAAGAAGUCCGCCGCCGCGACCUCGGCCGCCGGAGACGCGAAGGCAGAUGGGGAGGCAGAAGAGCGGCGGUGCCCGCACCAGCGCGGCGAGCCGGCAGCGCCGCGGGCGGUGCUCCCCUCCUCCGGCGCCGUAACGCACUUGCAGGGGCGCGACAUCUCGUGGUCGUGGCGCCCAUCUCCUGGUCGAGAUGUACCUGCUGUACACGCUGGAGACGGCUGAUCCGAUGGCUGAGCUUCAGUACGUGAACGCCUCGGUGCUCCGUCUGCUCGCCUGUUCGCAUCCUCCAAGCUAGCUGCCAGUCCCCAAUCCUCACGGAACUCUCCCCUGCGUUUUCCCUCUUUUCGAUCUGUGUUGUGACUUGUGAUUGCUCUUGGAUUGGAUCCGUGCUCAGGAGCUGGGAGGCUCUCUAGCAGUAUUGCAGGAGCAGCUCAGGAGGUUGCUGUUUCUUUGCAUCACGAGCAUGAGUUGUAUACCCACUCAGAGGAGAAGCUCAGAGAGUCCUGGAGAACUCCGGCUACCAGUUUCUAUGGGUCGUACAAGUCUGAGCUUCAAACAAAUAAUUUGGCGGGCCAAGCUAGCAAAGUUACUUAGGUAGGCAUUAGUCAAUAUACUAGGUACCUUUUGUGUCAUAUUGGUUCAGAACAUCCAUAUAUCUGUCAACAAAAUUAAACCAUAUAUGGAUUCAAUUUGACCAUCUGGCAUGGAGUUGCAUACUAGAUAAUCAGCUAUUUAUAUCGAAUAUGUUUCUGAAAUCUUCAAUGCCAUCUCCAUACUUGUACUUCUCCAGAAUUUGCUAUUGACAAUUUGAGUUUUGAAAUGAUGCCGUGAAGUAUAGUUUGAUGAAAGUAAAUUACUUGGGUCUUACAGUGAGUGAAGUGAAGUUGGAUGAGAGGAGUUGGUGUGCCAUAUGCGCCUCUGCCCUGGGGGCUGGGUCGCGGGCUCACUGCCUGCUCUAGGCUGCUGGUGCAGUAUUGCUGAACCUCCAUGUUGCUUCCCUAAACUAAGCCACAGUUGCUGCCUGCUGGGACCCUGAUACAACGAAGAGUCAGGGUGCCAAAGGGAAUGGACGUCUGCAGUGAUGCCGGGUGGUAGGCUUACACUUAGAAAUUUUUAGUUUUGCCCUGAAGCUGGCUGGGCCACGGCUCAAUUUGGCCCUCAGUAGCUCCGCCGGUGCUCCCAGACAACGUCGGUGAUGUCUUCAAACGGGAGCUUGACUAUCGCAUCCAUGUUGCACCUGUACAGGUGUUUAAACCCCCAUCUAAGCCCCUUCCCUCAUUCAUCUCUAUCUUUUUCAAUUGUGGCCCCAUUGUCAUCUUUGGUCUCUCUACAGGUUUUCAAUAAUUUAGUCUCUCUACAGGUUUUCAAGAAUUUAUCCGUUUGUGUUUCUGUCAUAUUACUUGCAAUAAAUUGACACUGGGACAAGAUUUCGUAAUUCGUUUGGUUGCUUGGGCAAGCCUUAUUUUCAAGGAUUGUAUUUUGUCAGUUUUUACUAUUUGUUUCCUAUGUCUUAUUGCUUUAUGCAUUUGAAUUAUUUCAUAACUUAUGCUUCUCCUGUGCCAACAUCAUGCAAUCAAGUGUUUAGUUAGCUUGGUGAAUAAGUGCUUCUAUUUUGUUUGUUCACUGUCUCUAUGUUUUAGAAUUUGUGGAGGAAGUACUAGGGAAGGUUGGAGCUCUGCUUCUUGAUUGCCAAAAUAUGCGAGGGUCCUAAUUCUUAGUUCUCAUGAUGUCCUGAAUUUGGGUGUUCAAAAGAUUAAAUGAUUAUGUGUAGAACUUUAUCUUGAUCCAAUAUAGGAGAUACCUUCCACAUGCAUUUUUGCCUGGGUAAAUAGUGUGAUAUUUAAAAUGUGUGUUGCCUGAUGUUUACAAAUGAGAAGCGUAAUUAGUUUUUUUAGUUACACUAGCAAGCUUUGUUGAAAGCUUGAUGGUUCAUUUUGCUUCAUGUAUGCUAGAUCUCUGUCAUGCGUGGAUAGAAAUCAUCAACAGUUGAUGCCUGACUCGGAGGAGUCGUUUUCAUUGUCCUAUUGAUUAAGUCAUGCUUAUUACUACUUUGGGUUUUUAUUUUUCAUCCCUGAUGAAAAAUAACAAAUCUUAAAUAUCACAUGUAACUGGGCGGAGCAGUGACACUAUUGCAGCUGCUCCCUGGUACACAAAUUGGUUCUUUGUUGUCCAAGGGUAUUACUGUUCUGAUUUUGUGUAAUGGUUUUUUUUUUCCAUCUGGUCUGCAAGGACGUGGGGCUCAGUGGUCAGCAUGGACAUCGCCGUCAUCGGUUAUCCUUGUCUUCAGACCUGAAGUUUGGCUCAGAUUUCGAAACAAGACCAAAACAAUUCAUAUACAUUGGAAACUUAUGAAGAUAAAUCAUGGCAAGUAUAAGCUAUAUAUACAGAACAUCCAUUGAAUAACAAUUCCAUGCUUGCGAACAGGUGGAAUGUACAACACCUCAAAGUGAGCUUCUUCUCUUCUUAAUUAAUCCAGAUCCAGGUGCAAAUCGUUGAUGAGUGCCCAGAUUUCAAUGAGUGCUCAGAUUUUUGCUUAUGGUAGGUACUGUCUUUGCUUUUGAAUAUUGUUGCAGAUGAAGUAUUAAAUUCAAUGUAGCAUUAUCAAUUAGGUAUUGUUAGUAUCUAUAGCAGUAGCUGGUGAGAACUAAAUCUACGAGAGAGAGCAAGUACUGUUUACUCUACAAACGUCUUUUAAUCAGUGAGUUAUAUCUUUUUGAUAGAUAUAUAUACACAUGAUGGACAACCAAGCGCACCUCAGCGACCGUCGGCAGCAUCCCUUGCUACCGCCACCGGAGGGAUGGAGAUGAAGGUGACCUGCCGAGGUACGACGCCGAUUCGUGCACAGAUCUCGAUGGGUUGUGCUGGACUGCUUCCCUCCUCUGCCUCUUUGGCGUCACCGAUGACGCCGACCACCGACGCAGGGGCCUGCCCUCCUCUGCCUCUUCUUUGAAGGGGACCUGCAGGUUCCUCCUCCUCCUAAGGUUCUUUAUUGAAGAUGAGGUGACUCUCAUAAGCAUUGUGGCUCGGUUCCUUGGAUUAUAGUCAUCGAGAGGUGUGAUGGGCAGAACACUUCAUCUGGCAAUCCGUUUGCCCGGUGUCGGCGAGGAAAUAUGGGUUGGGUGCCGCAAGAUAUGAUGCUGAAUGUGGUGUUGCUCUGUCCGUUGGUUGCAUAUACAACAUGCAUGUUCAAGUGUUGGUGUAUUACCUCAAGAGAUGGUAUGUGGAUGGUUUCCUCGUUUUCAAUGGUUAGAUGGCUUGAAAGAAGAGACCUAGAGCGACAUCAGUGACCACAUUAAACCUUGCUCUGGUAUAUAACUAUUGGCACUAUGUUUAUUUUCCUUUGAAAAGUUCCUCGGUGUAAGAUAUUUGAUAUUGGUGCAACUUCAAGUGCAUCUGAUGCUUUAAUUUGGUCUUAUGUACAUAACCUGCUAUGGAAUGGCUAAAGAAAAACAUUUCACAUCUUGAAUGAAUUACUGUAGGUGAUGGAAUAGGAGAUAGACUAGGAAGGAAAUGAUCAAUUAUUAACACAUCUCUUAUUUGAUGUAUGGUUUUGAUUUCUGCAUACAGAGUAAUUUGAGUGUAUUUCCAGUAUUUCAAGUUUUAACACUGAACAAUCCAUAGUAAUUGUUGGCAUUGUUUCUGUAUUCAGGUGGUUUGAUUAUUUACUCAAUAGCGUUUUUACAAAAUUCUCCUCUUUUGUCUACUUCACUUUUUGACUAAAUAGAUGGAGGUUUAAGACAGCUACUGUAUGUACAGGUCAAGUUGUGACUGUUUUAUUUUUCUUUAUUAUGGUUUUGGAUUUGUACAGCUGUAUGUACAAGUCAACACAUCUAUCAUUGGUUAUUGGACUAACUUUUGUUGAUUUUUACUUUUCAUCUUAUUCCUAGGGUUAAUUUCUAGACUAAUUUUUACGAUUUGAAGUCAACUUUCUAAAAUCUGUAUAGAUUCACAGAAGACAUGCAAGGAAACAAUGCCGAAGAGAGAAGCCAUUGAUUCAUACCAUGUUCUGUUUGAGGGGGCCCAUGGAUAUUUUACUUAAUUGCAUAGAGCAAAUGCACUAUUACUGUCUUGGUUUUCCACCUAUGCCACCGUCAUAUAUGCAUUGAGUUCUGGACCCUAUAUAGAAAAAAUGAUCUUUCGUUACUUCAUGAUCACGCAUUCUUUCCCAUGGAUCAUAAAUAGCCUGGGGUCUUCUACUUUGUUGACGCAUCAAGUCCCUUGUUGCAUCUCUACUAUGUGUAAGUGUCCUCUUGUCUAUCUUCCUCUUAGGAAGUGUUCCUGUCUUACGUUUUGUUGCUUGGUUCAAUGGUAGCAAUUUUAGUGUUUUUUCCUGUGAUUUAAAAUUUCUAGCUGUACUGAAGUUAGUACAAAAAAUUGAAACCAUUUUAAAUUAUAUAUGAAUUGCAAUUAAAGUGAAGUUAGACCCCCUGGUGAGAAAAGGAAGGGCAUUACACUGAGUUGUUCUCUGUUAGGUUAUUUUUGAAUCCAAGUUCACAUUCUCAAACAAUCAGUGCUACUUCAGAAUUACAUGGAUACUUUAUUUAUUUUUAUCAUAGUUGUACUGUUUAACUUAAUUGUAUUGCUUUUACUAAUUUGUACAAACAACUUGGCUUAUUCAGAAGUAAAUCUAGACUAACGCACAUAUAUUUCCCUCUGUAUUUUGUAUGCGCGUAGAUUGUAUGUCAACAAUGCCAUGUACACCAACAGAAACAUCUACUAGGUACUUUUUUGAGUCAUGUAUCUAUUACUUUAGUCCUAAAAAGCGCAGACUUAAUUGUUUUCCCGAAGGACAGUUUCUUUUAUUCAGUUUUGAUAUUUUGGAUUUACCGCGACGAGUAUUUCAUGAGCUGCUGGCAUUUCUACCUAACUAAUUAGACUGCAUAAUUAUAUGAGUUAUGGAUUAGUGCCAUAAGUAUUUUUUAUUUCUUUCUUUUGGUACCAAAUUCGUGGUUUAUCUGCCAAUUUUCCAUUUAAUAAUCAGUUGCUGACACUUGAGCUUACUUGCUUUCAUACGGCUAGCUAAUGUGCCUUUUAUAUUUCUUCACUUGUGUCAUGGGAUUGGCAUGCUUUCCUUUUCUAGAUGUACACAUGAUUGGCGCAUUGAGGAGACUUGGGAUCUUACAAGAAUGGUCUAUAAUAAUAUUUGCUAAUAUUUUUUCUUAUUUGUGUUCUAAAGUGGAACAGAUAGGAUAUUUUUUGUAUGGUAUUUUUGUUCUUCACUUCUACCACCUCAUGCCUUAGAUGAAAAGUCACUUUCCCUUGGUGUUGGACUACAGAUCUGAUCAAAGAAAAGAGGAAGGCAGUUGCUAUACAGUAAAUUGCACUGGUUAGUUCUUAUUCUUUAAUGUUAUCUUCAGUCCUUCAAAGCCACUACGUGAUAUUGUUAAUGGAAUAGGGCUCUUUGCUGUUUAUCAAGUUCCACCCAUAGUUGCAGAAAAAACUGUUGACCGAUACAAACUAAGUCGAUUAUGCACUUUCAUUGUAUCUUACUGCAUUGGAAUGCUUUGGGCUUUGUUUCUCAUUUGAUCGGUAUCAACACAUGUUCUACCGCUUGCUAUCUACAGGAAGGUUUACCCGCCGAGUAAUAAAGCAAGUGGUUGUUGUGUAUAGACUAGCUCUGUAGUAACAAAUUUUCAAUGUACGGCUUUCCAGUUCUAGAAUUUAGGUUAUUUCUUGUGUACCAUGUAACACCAUCCCUACAAUAUGUGUUUUCACACUGCCAGUUGUGUUUAGUAGACCCUAUGUAUGCAAGAGCAAAUGUGCUUUGCUUUAAAAUCAACUGACACUGCUAUAUGUAACAUAUUUCCUUACAUUAUAUACAUAUACAAAUUUGUUAUAUAUUUACCAUUGAUUUGUAUAAACGUUUAACAUAUCAUUUUACAAGCUGUUUACCAGUGUGGAAGGUGGCGGCGCGUAGAGUGCCGCGCCCCAAAAUUGGUGUUGAUAUCCAAAUAGGAUAAUUAUGAGGGUGUGAACCGGUUCAUUAUAGGGCUAUAUAAUUUUGGAUGGGUUACCUCAUGAUCAUGCAUCCGUUAUCCAUCCAGAUUUUAUAGUUACAAUUUUUAUUUUGGCGCAUGUUCAGUCUUUGUAAUAGUUAUGUAAAUUACGCGAAAGUUCCCAGGACUGAUGUGCUUUCCGCCCUGUUUGGGUGGUCGUCAGCAUGUCCGUGCACUUCUUUUGUGUGUCGGUGCCUGGUGCGUGUUUGGUGUAUGUUGCUGGUAGUCACCGAUUUCUAUGGUGGUGACGUAUGCUAUUGGCAUGUUAUGCCAUGAUUUUAAGGCAUUCAGCUAUAAUUGCUAAAUUUGAUGAAAAUAUUUCAAGAUUUUUGUACCUACCACCUAACCUUGAUAUUGUUUAUUUUUCCAACAGUCUGCCAGUUUCUAUUCUAUGUAUUUGAAGGCGAUUCAAUAUUUUGAUUAUAAGACAUUCAACUAUAAUUUCUAAACCUGAUGAAGUUAAUGUGCCCUAAUGAAACUAAUGUGCUGUGUAGUAAUGAUUGUACUACAUACUAUCUUUUAGUUCCAAGCAGCCAAUUAUAUCUUAAAUAUCUAAUGUAUGUGCUCUGCUUGGACAUUUUGUCAUUUUUAUGCAGGCCACACACAAUGGUAUU